rnacentral:rRNA from 1 species
AAAUUGAAGAGUUUGAUCAUGGCUCAGAUUGAACGCUGGCGGCAGGCCUAACACAUGCAAGUCGAACGGUAACAGGAAACAGCUUGCUGUUUCGCUGACGAGUGGCGGACGGGUGAGUAAUGUCUGGGAAACUGCCUGAUGGAGGGGGAUAACUACUGGAAACGGUAGCUAAUACCGCAUAACGUCGCAAGACCAAAGAGGGGGACCUUCGGGCCUCUUGCCAUCGGAUGUGCCCAGAUGGGAUUAGCUAGUAGGUGGGGUAACGGCUCACCUAGGCGACGAU